GCUGUUUUUAUGAUAUUUAGAAUGUCACGAAAAGCUAUCAGUAUUGUUCAUGGUGGUAAACGAAACUCUGGAUGCUAUAUUUGGAGAUGUUGUUUUUGAAAUCUGCAUAAUUAGCAGAAAUUUUGGACCACAGAAAUAUCUAGCUUAAACAGAUAACAUUUCCCCAAGACUAGAUAUAUUAUCAACUCUUUAUUUCCCUUGGCACUACUUAAUGUGACACCAGUAUAUUUCCAGAAUGACAUUCCUGUCAAAUUAUUUUUAGAGAUGAAAGUAGGCUACAAAGUUCUUUGUAAACAUUAAUGCAAAACUCAACAGAGUAACCUGAAAUCAAAUGUGUGGCUAAACAAGCAUUUAUUCAUGUUUGAACUGUUUUUUUACAUUUUUGUUUGAGUUAUGAACAUUAUAAAUUGAAGUACAAUU